UGGGGAAUCUUCCGCAAUGGGCGAAAGCCUGACGGAGCAACGCCGCGUGAGUGAAGACGGCCUUCGGGCUGUAAAACUCUGUGAUUCGGGACGAAAGAUAAGCAGACGAAUAAUCUGCAUAAGUGACGGUACCGAAAAAGCAAGCCACGGCUAACUACGUGCCAGCAGCCGCGGUAAUACGUAGGUGGCAAGCGUUGUCCGGAAUUAUUGGGCGUAAAGCGCGCGCAGGCGGCUACUUAAGUCCAUCUUAAAAGUGCGGGGCUUAACCCCGUGAUGGGAUGGAAACUUAGAAGCUGGAGUGUCGGAGAGGAAAGUGGAAUUCCUAGUGUAGCGGUGAAAUGCGUAGAGAUUAGGAAGAACACCGGUGGCGAAGGCGACUUUCUGGACGACAACUGACGCUUAGGCGCGAAAGCGUGGGGAGCAAACAGG
rnacentral:rRNA from 1 species